UGGGGUGUAGCUCAAUGGUAGAGUGUGUGUUUAACAUUCAUGAGGCCCUGGGUUUGAUCCCCAGCACCACAU